rnacentral:lncRNA from 1 species
UGAGCCUUGUCCAGUUAGUUGAAAGACUUUAAGAGAAAAGAAUGAGGUCUUCUAAGGAAAAAGGAUUCUGCUUCAUAGCUCACUGCAGACUCAAGUUGCAACAUCCGUUUUUCCCUAGGUCUCCAGCCUACCAGCCUGUCCUGCAGAUUUAGGACGUGCCAAUUGAGAACAAUUGCAUGGGCUAAUUCCUUAAAAUAGAUUUCUCGCUUUUUGGAGAAUCUGAUGACAGCAUUUUAGUUAUGGACCCCUGGACCAUGACUGAAUUGGCCACCUGCCACUCACAUGCUUCUGGGAGACUUGGAAUGACAGAGGUGCAUCUCAGGAUAUCAUCAGAAGAGCAUGCACGUGAUGGUGACAGAGGCAGGCUGGCUCUGUCCAGAACUAAGAUCUUUUAUUGAACUCUCCAUCUUCUCUCCACCCCUGCCAUGGCCGUUUCCCUGUCUUAAUAAAGCUAACUUGUCAGUCAUCAUUCUUCCCCAAGAUGUCAUAUUUGAAUCAGGAGGCUUAUCUCUCAUUGGCUUACUUCUUUCUAAGAUUCAGCCUUAGGAGUCUUUCACUGGUCUUUAAUUGCUGCAUUUUAUUCUGGAAAUAUAGGGGAAAAUUAAUAGUCAAGACAUUUAAAUUAAGCUAAAUGGAUUUGACCAAAUCAAAGCUAUUUUUAAUACAUUCUGAGUCAAAAUAAACUUCCCAGUUGAAAAACACAGCCCUCGGA